rnacentral:rRNA from 1 species
UACAGAGGUCUCAAGCGUUGUUCGGAUUCAUUGGGCGUAAAGGGUGCGUAGGCGGCGCGGUAAGUCGGGUGUGAAAUCUCGGAGCUUAACCCCGAAACUGCAUUCGAUACUGCCGUGCUUGAGGACUGGAGAGGAGACUGGAAUUUACGGUGUAGCGGUGAAAUGCGUAGAUAUCGUAAGGAAGACCAGUGGCGAAGGCGAAUCUCUGGACAGUUACUGACACUGAGGCACGAAGGCCAGGGGAGCAAACGGG